UGAAGGGUCUGGAGGACAAGGAGCUGGGAGAGCUCAGCCUGGAGAAGAGGAGGCUCGGGGGGACCUUCUCACUCCCCACAACUCCCUGACAGGAGG